rnacentral:rRNA from 1 species
GCAUGCCUACAACAUAGCAUAAAUGCAUCAGAUCCCAUUAGAACUAUGUAGUUAAGUGCACUCGGGAUAGAGUAAUACUGGGAUGGGUGACCUCCUGGGAAUUCCUAGUGUUUUACAUGCC